AUGGUCGAGCUGCAGCACCGUGCCAAUGGUUGGAAGGCCACAAUAUGGAGCAUCAAGACUGGUAUCUUCUCCAAAAUGGCUUGGCGCGUCGAUUACCAGUUCGAUUCGUCUGAUAUACCCGAACCGUCGCUGCCUAAGCUGAAGCUCCCUGAAGGUGUCACGGCUCAGCCUACCUUGUCGACUCUCCAUAUUGGCCUGCCCAAGCUGAGCCUGCCAGAUGAUGGAAUUCUUUAUUUACUAGCCAAGAUUGACUACCGUGACAGGCAGCACACAGCGUGGGUGCUUGCUGUUGACAUGAAGAACAAGACUGUCCAGAGAGUGGCCGGGUUUAGCCCUAAGAGGGCUAUUGGUUUAUGCAGGGGCUACGAUUCAAGUACAAUCUCCAAAUAUCUCAAAGUUGCUUCAGGUAACUUUUUCCACCGCUGCCUUACCAUCUGCCACUUCCUGUGCAUGCUA
rnacentral:rRNA from 1 species